GAAUAAACUAAAAACAAACUAAAUUUUAAGCAAAAGGACAAUAUUUACAAGGGGAGGGCACAUAAUUGGUCAAACCUUUUUGUUUGGUUGUUUAUGUGUAGAAUAAAGAAUCCUGUUGUCAUUUGAAAACAUCUGACUUCAAUUUUGGUGAUAUUCAUGUUUUCAAAUCUCAACAAUCAAGUUAUGAAUGUCAAGCUUUUCAAAUCGGUUUUGGGUUCUUGUUUUGAAUGAAUCCAUUUUUUAUAUAUAUCCAACACUUCACUGCCUCAGUACAUUACAUGUCAUUUAGCUGACGCUUUUAUCCAAAGCGACUUACAAUAAGUGCAUUCAACCUUUGGGUACAAACUCAGGAGAACAAAAAACUGCAAUUUCCUCAAAUAAUACAAUUUACAAUUUGCUAUUGAUAAGAGCCGUUAUAAGUAAAAUUUAAGUGCUACAAUUUGGAGCGUAGAGUCUGAAGAGGUGUGUCUUUAGUUUGCGGUGGAAGAUGUGAAGGCUCUCUGCGGUCCUGGUAUGAAGGGAGGUGUGGUCUCCCCCUGUUCAUCCCCCGAAGGGUGUGGCUGGAACAGCUGACGGCAAGCAGCCAUCAGGGGACUCUCCUACAUCAACCCGGGUCUUCCUGCCAUUGAGCGCCAGAUCGUUCCGUCGUCAGAGUGUGCUCCAGGAUCCCUACCUGCCUGCUGGCGGCCUCUCCGAGGCCAGUCCCCCCUCCAGUCUCGACCCUGCCCUGUGCACCUUUUUAUGUGUAUAUGUCUGAAUAAACACAUUAUUUUCCAGUCGGAA
ensembl:lncRNA